rnacentral:rRNA from 1 species
AAGGGCAGGUAGGUGGUUAUGUAAGUCCGGUGUGAAAUCCCAGGGCUCAACCCUGGAACUGCAUUGGAAACUACAUGACUUGAGUACUGGAGAGGUGAGGGGAAUUCUCGGUGUAAGGGUGAAAUCUGUAGAUAUCGAGAGGAACACCAGUGGCGAAGGCGCCUCACUGGCCGGUAACUGACACUGAGCUGCGAAAGCAAGGGGAGCAAACAGGAUUAGAUACCCUGGUAGUCCUUGCCGUAAACGAUGUGGAUUAGGUGUUGGGGGUGUUGAUCCCUCCAGCGCCGACGCUAACGCAUUAAAUCCACCACCUGGGGAGUACGGUCGCAAGACUGAAACUCAAAGAAAUUGACGGGGACCCGCACAAGCGGUGGAGCAUGUGGUUUAAUUCGAGGCUACGCGAAGAACCUUACCCAGGCUUGACAUGUAGUUGACAGUCUGUGAAAGCAGAUGUUCUCGCAAGAGACAACUACACAGGUGCUGCAUGGCUGUCGUCAGCUCGUGCUGUGAAGUGUUGGGUUAAGUCCCGCAACGAGCGCAACCUUUGUCUUUAGUUGCCAUCACGUCAUGGUGGGCACUCUAGAGAGACUGCCGGUGAUAAACUGGAGGAAGGAGGAGACGACGUCAAGUCAGUAUGGCCCUUAUGCCUGGGGCUACACACGUGCUACAAUGGCCAUGACAAAGGGCUGCAAACCCGCGAGGGGGAGCUAAUCCCAAAAAAAUGGCCUCAGUUCAGAUUGAAGGCUGCAAUUCGCCUCCAUGAAGUCGGAAUCGCUAGUAACGGUAGAUCAGCUACGCUACCGUGAAUACGUUCCCGGG